rnacentral:rRNA from 1 species
ACACGACUACAUUAGAUACCCGUGUAGUCCCAGCCCUAAACGAUGCGCGUUAGGUGUAUCGGUGACCACGAGUCACCGAGGUGCCGAAGGGAACCGUGAAACGUGCCGCCUGGGAAGUACGGUCGCAAGGCUGAAACUUAAAGGAAUUGCGGGGGAGCACCACAACGGGUGGAGCCUGCGGUUUAAUUGGACUCAACGCCGGGAAGCUCACCGGAUAAGACAGCGGAAUGAUUGCCGGGCUGAAGACCCUGCAUGACCAGCUG